rnacentral:lncRNA from 10 species
GCAAUCAAGAAUCUUUAAUUUGUUACUCUGUUUUCUCAGAUAUUCUUUUUAAACUAUUCCUUUGAACUCAUAAGGAGCUAUUACUUCUCUCAGCCAUUAGCCUUUUCACACUUUUGCUCUUUCUGACCACUGUGUGCCAGAGAUUGCAAAUUCUUUGAGGUCAGGCUUUGUAUUGUUUACCUUUGCAUGUGACUAGCACAUACACUUGCACAUUACAAGAACCCCAACAAUAUAUUAUAAGUAGAACCAAUUGGAAAAUUCAAAUGAUAAGCAGAUAAUUGCAAAAAUGUGUUUGCAAAAUUAUAGUUGGAAAUUGGAACACUUGAAAAUUUUUUUUUAAUUUUUUUUUUUAUUUUAAUAGUGAGCCACAUAUUGGAGAUGAUUUAAGGCUUGCAGACCGACCAUGACUGCCAAUUGACCCACACUGUAGCUGAAAUAAUACUACCAGAAAAAAAUUCUACCACUGAGUCCCAAUGACACUUCAAUCCCCCUAUUUGAUGUUAGACUCGCUUGCCUCUAAGGCAUGAUCUUUUUGAUGUGUGGGGAUAUAGAGUGUUGCUUGGGUUGUCAAUUAAUUAAAAAGCCAUUUCCUCAGCCAUACUAAACAUAUUUCCAGUACUUAAUAGUCCCAUGAAGAUGACACCUACAAAAUUGGAUAGCAGAUAUUUUCAUCUCAGAAUGUCUUAUUGGACAGCACUAGUCCAAACAAUUGAUGGAGAAGAUCAUUUGGGUGUAGAGAGGCAGGUUGUAAUUUAUAACUCAUUAUCAGGGAGGGUGAGUAUAGGGCUGUCACGAUAUCAGAAAUGCCUUGGCAAUUCUCAGCUGUUUGAUGCAUUAACACACUUCUUCCACCUGGAAAUGGAAUUCCAG